rnacentral:tRNA from 1 species
GGCAGUGUUGCCUAGUGGUUAGAGCACUGGACUGGGACUCAGACCUGGGUUCCAUUCCCAGCGCUGCCA